CAGGUGCUCUUCCCAGCAAUAGAACCCUAACAUCAUCAUCAUCAUUAUACCAAUAUGUUAUCUCAAAAUCUGGUUAUCCACAGUUUCCUGGAGGACCUAAGAAGAAAACCUAUACCUUGGUUUUUACCAGCUUCUAGAAGAGUCCUUGGGUUUGGAUCCUGCUACAUGGCCAGUUGAGUCUUUGGCACAAUGUAACACUGACUCUUCUUUCAUCUUUCAUAACAUUGCUCCCCCGACCAGCUAACCCAGGAAAUUUCUGCAUCCCAAGGUUUACUUCAACUUCAUCUGCAAAUCCCCUCUCACCAUAUACAGUGACACAGUCACAGGGCUCUUGAAUUAGGACACAGAAGCCUUUAUAGAGGCCACUAUUGUACCUACCACAUUUGAUUGAGUAAAGUCUAGGCAAGAUAUUUUUCAGACAGAAGAAGAAAAGUACGUUCCUGUUUUCAACUGCUGAGAGAUCUGAAUACAAUUAGAAACAACACAUUUUCUUAAGGUCCAAACAAGUUAAACAAGUCUGGUUACCGAAAUAAUCUCAGAAAUGGGCAAAGCUAUAUACAUGAGUACGAGUAAGUCAAUUCCUUUUACAUCCAUUACUGAUAGUGGACAACUAGGAACACACACACACACACACACACACACAGUCACACACACACAGAGAGAGAGAGAGAGAGGGAGAGAGGGAGAGAGGGGGGUUAGAUUUCUCCUCUGUUGGAUGGUUUCAUUUGUAAGGGUUAGCACUUUAAACAUAAGUAAGACUGAGGCAUUAAUGACAGAUCUCUCUGCUAAGCCCGCCCAUUUCUGAGUUCUAACUCAAUAAUCAUCACCUUUUCUUUCCCCCCUUGUCUAUCUCUUCCUUGGAUCCUGGCCAAAAUCCUAAGCACACUUGCCCUGCCCUUCUGGACAUAUGCACUCAUUCUCUGAAACUCCCUUGCGACCGUCCAUGCAAUGUUGACUGACCACCACUGCUAAGCCUGCCUGCUUUCUUGAGCACUGACUCAAUGGACACAUCUCACUGUCUCUAUCUCUUCUGGCAGCUGCUGAGACUUACAACUUGUUUGCCUUGUUGUUUCUCCAUCCUAAUAAAAUUAGUCUCAAGCUUUAGCAAAAGUAAUAAUGGACAAAGAAACUGGCAGAGAGAGAACCAGGAAUCAGGACUGGCUGGCCACUCACAGAGUACUAAUUAUUUCAGAACCCUGCUUAAAAACAAAAAGGCCCAACAGAACACAGACACUUUCAUCAUGCCAAAUGAUUCCACCAUGAGCUUGACAGCACAGGAGCCAGCUGGUCUCAGACCUUUGAUGAACACAGUGUCCAUGGUGAAUCCUAGCCACACCCCUUCAGCAAUCACGGUGAACCCUGCUUGCACUUGACACUAUAGGAUCUAGCCAAUUCCACAGAAUCAAAGAAGCAUCAAGAACGGCUUUGCUUACCUACAAACAUCAUGAAGAGCUCGAGACUGUAUUCCCUGCAGAAGGCAUUGCCUUUGAAACUCAACCUAAGGGAGACAACUGUAAGGGUCUGGCCCCAAGACAUAUGGGUGGCUCAAAUUGAUAAAGCAGCAACAGUAACAGUCGAAACUAUACCAGACCUUUCCAGGCCAAAAUAUGCCCACCUUAUCCAGAAUGUCCAGCAAUUCUUUUUCCCCUGCAGCUUCAAAUUUUUGUCCUUUCCUCCAUCACAGCCUUCAGACCCACCCAAUGGUCAGGGGACUCUAUCUUCACAGAGAUUACCAUCAGCGAUCCCCAAAUGCAAACAGGAUGGAGUAGCUGCUGCACUGUGUUCUGGAGCCUAGGCUGAACUCGACAUCACAGAACUCUUCAGUUUUCCUGAUGAAGGUGUCCAUGGAGACCAGAAGAGGCAUCUGACUCGUUGGAACUGGAGUUACCGGCUGUUGUGACCAGCCUGACUGGGGGCUCAGAACCAAACUCAGGUCCUCUAGAAAAGCAGAAGCCCUUAUAACUACGGAGGCCUCUCCCUAGCCACUAAUUGCAUAGUGAAUUUGUUUGUUUUUGAAACAGUGUCUCACCAUGUAGUCCUGGAUACCCAGGAAUUCACUAUAUAAACCAAGGUGGUCCCUAAUUCGCAGAGACCCACAUGCCCCUUGCUUCCUGGGUGCUGGAAUUAAAGGCACACACCAAAGUAUAAUUUUGGAAGAACAAAAACAAGUAAUAUUUGUAUUACUGCAAAAGGCCCCAGGCCAGAUGCCAAUUAGAGAGGGGCUGCUAUGCCUCCAUGGCAUCCCUGUGGACAUUUUGUGAGACAGGUGCUUAAAACUCUUAAGAGAACUAAAAUACAGGCCAAGUUCAGUAACAAUGACCCAUAAGUAAGGCUGAGGCUGUGACUCAGCAGAGCUUGCCUAGCAUACCCAAGGCCCUGGCUUUAGCCCCAGACUAAACCAGGGUCUAUGACUCACACCUGCAAUCCCAGCACUUGGGAGGUAGAAGCAGGAGACUUACAAGUUCUGGGUCAUCCUCAACUACAAAAUGACUUAGAGGCCAACCUGAUCUACAUGAGGGCCUCUCCCUAAAAGGACAAAAUAAUCAUAUAUUCCUUAAAAAUUAAAAUGCCUGCGUGAAAUAUUUCUCUUAUCUGUGGUCCAGUCUCUAAAUCUCCCCCCCCUUAUUUAUUUUUUCCCUAGAAUAAGAUGUUUUCAUCAUAACCUAUAGACAUGAUUUUAUAAUUCUUUCAUGUUGGUUUUCCAAACUAUCUCAGUCAAUAAACUUUGAAGUCUGCCAAACUGGGAGCCUUAGGAUGUAUCAAAUGUUUGCAUUUUAAUUUGUCUUCUCAACAAUGUGACUUCAGAGAUUUUCAGGCCAACUGACUCCUAACAUUUCACAAAUCUAAGUCAAAUAUCACUAACAAGCCCAUAUGUGAAUAAACAUUUCUUUUAUAAAGUGAA